rfam:Helianthus annuus linkage group 16, whole genome shotgun sequence.
UCGAACACGUACGAGCGGAAUCACCACCUUACAGCAUGAGCAAAAUCAGGACAUUAGACACUUCGGGCGGAAUCAGGAUAUUAAGGGGUUUCACUCCAAAUGACAUGAUGUUAUUUGGAGUGGAAUCACUUCCUAAAAACAAUAUUUUGAAUUCCGUGCCCUGUUUUAGCCUAUUCUACUCUAGACUCAAUACAAGACGUAGGCAGUCCGAGAGGAUGAUCAGCCACACUGGGACUGAGACACGGCCCAGACUCCUACGGGAGGCAGCAGUGGGGAAUUUUCCGCAAUGGGCGAAAGCCUGACAGA